rnacentral:rRNA from 1 species
UACGGAGGGAGCUAGCGUUGUUCGGAAUUACUGGGCGUAAAGCGCGCGUAGGCGGUUAUUCAAGUCAGAGGUGAAAUCCCGGAGCUCAACUUUGGAACUGCCUUUGAAACUCCCAGUCUUGAGGUCGAGAGAGGUGAGUGGAAUUCCGAGUGUAGAGGUGAAUUUCGUAGAUAUUCGGAGGAACACCAGUGGCGAAGGCGGCUCACUGGCUCGAUACUGACGCUGAGGUGCGAAAGCGUGUGGAGCAAACAGG